CUCGUGUUGAAUGGAGCAGGAGGGAGGAGGUCAUUAAAACAGAGGGAAGCGUCGGUGUGAAAUGAAGAGGAAGCCAUCUGUCAUGGAGCGACGAGGCUUCACCUGGAUGCUAAUGAGCCUCAAACCGCCGGCAGAGGAAAUAUUAAACUGUUAAACGUGAGCGAUGAUGGCGAGCCGGCGGAGGAGGAAGGUCGCUGCUUUUAACGCGUCUCUUUUUCUUUCAUCCGGGGACAAACAUCCUGCCGUCUGUGUUUUGACUGGUCCUGAAUCAAGAUCAGCAGAGACCAGUCCACCGUGGACAGACCAGGGUCCUCCAGUAGAGACCAGUCCACCGUGGACAGACCAAGGUCCUCCAGCAGAGACCAGUUCACCGCGGACAGACCCAGGUCCUCCAGUAG
ensembl:lncRNA